AACGAACGCUGGCGGCAUGCCUAACACAUGCAAGUCGAACGAGACCUUCGGGUCUAGUGGCGCACGGGUGCGUAACGCGUGGGAACCUGCCUUUAGGUUCGGAAUAACUCAGAGAAAUUUGAGCUAAUACCGGAUGAUGUCUUCGGACCAAAGAUUUAUCGCCUUUAGAUGGGGCCGGGUUGGAUUAGCUGGUUGGUGGGGUAAAGGCCUACCAAGGCGACGAUGCAUAGCUGGUCUGAGAGGAUGAUCAGCCACACUGGGACUGAGACACGGCCCAGACUCCGACGGGAGGCAGCAGUGGGGAAUAUUGGACAAUGGGCGAAAGCCUGAUCCAGCAAUGCCGCGUGAGUGAUGAAGGCCUUAGGGUUGUAAAGCUCUUUUACCCGAGAUGAUAAUGACAGUAUCGGGAGAAUAAGCACCGGCUAACUCCGUG
rnacentral:rRNA from 1 species